rnacentral:rRNA from 1 species
CCUACGGGAGGCAGCAGUGGGGGAUAUUGCACAAUGGGGGAAACCCUGAUGCAGCGACGCCGCGUGGGCGAAGAAGUAUUUCGGUAUGUAAAGCCCUAUCAGCAGGGAAGAAGAAAUGCCGUAACUUGAGUAAGAGGCACUGGCUAAAUACGUGCCAGCAGCCGCGGUAAUACGUAUGGUCCAAGCGUUAUCCGGAUUUACUGGGUUGAAAGGGAGCGCAGGCGGCACGGCAAGUCUGAGGUGAAAGCACGGGGCCCAACCCCGGGACUGCAUUUGGAAUGGCCGGGCUGGAGUGCCGGAGAGGUAGGCGGAAUGCCUAGUGUAGCGGUGAAAUGCGUAGAUAUUAGGAGGAACACCAGUGGCGAAGGCGGCCUACUGGACAGUGACUGACGUUGAGGCUCGAAAGCGUGGGGAGCAAACAGGAUUAGAUACCCGUGUAGUC